UAGUUAAAAGUUUUAUUCACUGCAAAGAUCAGAGGGUGCUCCAAAAAGUGAACUAGCCUCACUCGAGAUACUUCCCCUCGUACCACCCCUCAGAAUGUCGUAUAACUUCACAUUGACUUGAUACUUUCGGUGAUCAUAUAUCCACCUUGAUGAAUUUCUGACAGAAAUCUUCGCAGUAAAAUUCUGAAACCUCUCCCGAAUCGACAUACUCCACCAAAAAUUGAUUCUUCGUACCAAACCAUUCCCUAAAUGGUACAUAUCUUAUAUUCAGACUUUUCGUGGUACUCGCGGUGAAAUCUAGCGAGAGUGCCGCGAAUGUUGGGCGGAAACAGCGCGGAGUAGAGCGCUGUACGCGUGGCCAGCUGUCAACGGAAAUACCUGGCCGCUUGGCACCGCUUGAAAAUAGAUUGGCAGCAGUUCGCAUCCUCCUCGAGGCCGGUUCGCUCGAAUCGCGAUAAAGCCUGGUCGAUCGUCGAUUUUCCUCUCUUCCUCUUCCAGAAACGGAAGUCCCGCGCUCGAGGAUACUUUGGCUUUUCAAACUCCUGGAAGUUACAUAUUUUUUCUCCUCUUUUCACCUUCUCCUUCGCCGAGGGAAAAAGUGCGCGUCGAUAGUGGUAAAUGCGAUUCGGUGGAAAAAGUCGUUGGAGUCUUCGAUAUGUCGGCCGUUGCUGGCUUGCCAGGUUCCUCGAAGCAGCCUGAUAAUUACGAUCAGGGACAGUCGCAGCUGGCAGUAGACGAUCGUCGUUGACGUUUUGUUUCUGCGUCCCUCUGACGGUUUCCAGGGCCACGUUCCCUGGCGUUGCACGUCGAUGAUUAAUGGAACCCUCCCACGCGAAAACGAACUCGCCACGGGUUAGAGUUAGACGCGGCGUUGGGUCACGAUCGCAGCCAGACUUUUCGGUCUAUUUCAGGAGCGAAAUCGUGUCUAUGUCGACGUACAGAGAGAAAAUCUAUCGCGACUGUGCGUAACUCUAUUCUCGUUCCACUUUAGCAAAGGUCGCUCUCGUGGCGAGUAGUCCAGUCACUCUGGGAAUUAAUUUUCAACUGGUGAUUUAGUAGAUCCCUCUGAAGAGUAUUUUUUUCUGAAACCGAAAAGUUUAUUAACUUGAUUUAAAUAUUUGUAUCGUUGGAAGAAAUAAAAGGAUAUCAAAUUCAAAAUUAUACUGUUCCAUAAUUCAGCAAUUAUAUUAUUCCACAGUUGAAUCUGAAGUGACUAGGCUAUGGUAAUUGCCAAUAGCGUCUCGUUGGCGUUCGUGCUCCUCGACGACAGACCUUUCAGACGAGGCUGAAGAUUGAACUGUCUAAAAUACUUCCCAGAGUCUCAAUUAAUAAGACUGUCUAAUUCCUCGUGCCAGUGAUUCUAACGUCUUCCAACGCUAAAUUAAUUCAUGCCAAAAUACGAUUGUAAAUCCAAUUGCUUGUUCGACAAGUUGUUUCGUCGACACUAUAGCACUUGAACUGCUGUUUGAAUAAUCCUCAAAGUCUCGAGGAUGACUCCACCCAUCGACUAAUGAGAAUUUAUCUACUAAUUCCUCGCGCUGACGAUUCCAUCAUCGUGUAACUAAACGUACUUAGCGUGUAACUAAAUCUCAUAGACCCAAAUGCGACUAGGUCUAGAUGCUCGUUCAAUGACGUGUUAGUUUUUAUGCUCCUUGAAAGUGUGAAGAAAGAGUCCCGACUAACGCAGUCUCAAUGUCUUCUAACACGGAAUUAAUCUCGAUGGGCCCGAUUAC